GGUUCGGAUCGUAAAACUCUGUUGUUAGGGAAGAACAAGUACCGUUCGAAUAGGGCGGUACCUUGACGGUACCUAACCAGAAAGCCACGGCUAACUACGUGCCAGCAGCCGCGGUAAUACGUAGGUGGCAAGCGUUGUCCGGAAUUAUUGGGCGUAAAGCGCGCAGGCGGUCUUAAGUCUGAUGUGAAAGCCCCCGGCUCAACCGGGGAGGGUCAUUGGAAACUGGGAGACUUGAGUGCAGAAGAGGAGAGUGGAAUUCCACGUGUAGCGGUGAAAUGCGUAGAGAUGUGGAGGAACACCAGUGGCGAAGGCGACUCUCUGGUCUGUAACUGACGCUGAGGCGCGAAAGCGUGGGGAGCGAACAGGAUUAGAUACCUGGUAGUCCACGCCGUAAACGAUGAGUGCUAAGUGUUAGAGGGUUUCCGCCCUUUAGUGCUGCAGCAAACGCAUUAAGCACUCCGCCUGGGGAGUACGGCCGCAAGGCUGAAACUCAAAGGAAUUGACGGGGGCCCGCACAAGCGUGGAGCAUGUGGUAUUCGAAGCAACGCGAAGAACCUUACCAGGUCUGACAUCCUCUGACAAUCCUAGAGAUAGGACGUUCCUUCAGGGGACAGAGUGACAGGUGGUGCAUGUGU
rnacentral:rRNA from 1 species